AUCCACAUUAGCUCAGUUGGCAGAGCAUGAGUCUCUUAAUCUCAGGUUUGUGGGUUCAAGCCCCACAUUGGGCA